GAUGAACGCUGGCGGCGUGCCUAAUACAUGCAAGUCGAGCGAACAGACGAGGAGCUUGCUCCUCUGACGUUAGCGGCGGACGGGUGAGUAACACGUGGAUAACCUACCUAUAAGACUGGGAUAACUUCGGGAAACCGGAGCUAAUACCGGAUAAUAUAUUGAACCGCAUGGUUCAAUAGUGAAAGACGGUUUUGCUGUCACUUAUAGAUGGAUCCGCGCCGCAUUAGCUAGUUGGUAAGGUAACGGCUUACCAAGGCGACGAUGCGUAGCCGACCUGAGAGGGUGAUCGGCCACACUGGAACUGAGACACGGUCCAGACUCCUACGGGAGGCAGCAGUAGGGAAUCUUCCGCAAUGGUCGAAAGCCUGACGGAGCAACGCCGCGUGAGUGAUGAAGGUCUUCGGAUCGUAAAACUCUGUUAUUAGGGAAGAACAAAUGUGUAAGUAACUAUGCACGUCUUGACGGUACCUAAUCAGAAAGCCACGGCUAACUACGUG
rnacentral:rRNA from 1 species